rnacentral:tRNA from 1 species
GGACGGGUGGCCGAGUGGUUGAAGGCAGCGGUCUUGAAAACCGCCAGGGGGCGCGAGCUCCCUCGUGGGUUCGAAUCCCACCCCGUCCG